UACGUAGGAGACGAGCGUUGUCCGGAAUUACUGGGCGUAAAGCGCGUGUAGGCGGAUGAGCAAGUCUGCUGUGAAAGCUCCUGGCUUAACCGGGAGUGGUCGGUGGAAACUGCUCGUCUGGAGGACGGUAGAGGUAGGUAGAAUUCCCGGUGUAGUGGUGAAAUGCGUAGAGAUCGGGAGGAAUACCUGUGGCGAAGGCGGCCUACUGGGCCGGACCUGACGCUGAGGCACGAAGGUCAGGGGAGCAAACGGG
rnacentral:rRNA from 1 species